rnacentral:rRNA from 1 species
UUGCCUACGGGAGGCAGCAGUGGGGAAUAUUGCACAAUGGGGGAAACCCUGAUGCAGCGACGCCGCGUGGGUGACGAAGUAUUGCGGUAUGUAAAGCCCUAUCAGCAGGGAAGAAGAUGACAGUACCUGACUAAGAAGCCCCGGCUAACUACGUGCCAGCAGCCGCGGUAAUACGUAGGGGGCAAGCGUUAUCCGGAUUUACUGGGUGUAAAGGGAGCGUAGGUGGCAUGGCAAGCCAGAAGUGAAAACCCGGGGCUUAACCCUGCGGACUGCUUUGGAAACUGUAUAACUGGAGUGCAGGAGAG